rnacentral:rRNA from 1 species
GGGCAUCGGAGCUGCGGUCCAACCCAAUGUGAACGUUACCAAACUGUUGCCUCGGCGGGAUCUCUGCCCCGGGUGCGUCGCAGCCCCGGACCAAGGCGCCCGCCGGAGGACCAACCAAAACUCUUAUUGUAUACCCCCUCGCGGGUUUUUUUAUAAUCUGAGCCUUCUCGGCGCCUCUCGUAGGCGUUUCGAAAAUGAAUCAAAACUUUCAACAACGGAUCUCUUGGUUCUGGCAUCGAUGAAGAACGCAGCGAAAUGCGAUAAGUAAUGUGAAUUGCAGAAUUCAGUGAAUCAUCGAAUCUUUGAACGCACAUUGCGCCCGCCAGUAUUCUGGCGGGCAUGCCUGUCCGAGCGUCAUUUCAACCCUCGAACCCCUCCGGGGGGUCGGCGUUGGGGAUCGGCCCUGCCUUGGCGGUGGCCGUCUCCGAAAUACAGUGGCGGUCUCGCCGCAGCCUCUCCGUGCGCAGUAUUUUGCACACUCUCAUCGGGAGCGCGGCGCGUCCACAGCCGUUAAACACCCAACUUCUGAAAUGUUGACCUCGGAGCGAGUAGGAAUACCCGCUGAACUUUGCCAGAUAAUAAGCGGAAGAACUUUCCCCGCUCCCCCGCCAUUCCUUUGUAUGGUUUCCGAGAGGGGGGCAGUGGGGGAUGGGGUGACUAUUAAGGGGUGGGGAAGGUGAAAACAAUAUAAAAGAGGUUGUCUUCGGCAUGUUAAAGAUAUUUAAAAGAGCACCGGCGAGCGGAAGAGGGGUUAUAGAGAGAGAAAAAAAAUUACAAGAGAGUGUAGGGGGUGCAGGCGGAAUGAAGAAGCCGUAAAAUGCCUUAAUUAGGGU